UACGGAGGGAGCUAGCGUUGUUCGGAAUUACUGGGCGUAAAGCGCACGUAGGCGGCUUUGUAAGUUAGAGGUGAAAGCCCGGGGCUCAACCCCGGAAUUGCCUUUGAGACUGCAUCGCUUGAAUCCGGGAGAGGUGAGUGGAAUUCCGAGUGUAGAGGUGAAAUUCGUAGAUAUUCGGAAGAACACCAGUGGCGAAGGCGGCUCACUGGACCGGUAUUGACGCUGAGGUGCGAAAGCGUGGGGAGCAAACAGG
rnacentral:rRNA from 1 species